AUGAAUUUUUAUUUUCUUAUGAUGCGCAUAGCGAUGUCGUUAAACACGUUGAUAGUAGUUAUUGUUUGUAAACUACUAUGCCUGCUUCUUCUUUUAUCGAUUUUUUUAAUAAUAUGGAGAAAAAAAUAUUUCAAAAAGCGGGCAGAGAGAUCACAAAAAGAAACAGUUGUAGGUUUUUUUCAUCCAUAUUGUAAUUCUGGUGGUGGUGGUGAAAGAGUACUUUGGGCUGCAGUCAGUGCUAUACAAGCUAGGUAUUCCAAUGUACACAUAGUGAUUUAUACUGGAGAUCUUGAUGCUCAUCCAGAACAAAUUCUCAGUAAAACAGAAAAAGUAUUUAACUAUAAGAUUGAACGCAAAAUUGAGUUUGUAUACUUACAUAGACGAAAAUGGGUGGAAGCUUCAAUGUACCCCUAUUUUACACUCUUGGGACAAAGUUUAGGAUCAGUUUGGUUAGCCAUUGAAGCUUUAAACAGCUAUGUUCCAGAUAUUUACAUUGAUACCAUGGGUUAUGCAUUUACAUAUCCAUUAUUUAGAUACAUUGGUGGAUGUAGAAUAGCAACCUAUACUCAUUACCCAACAGUUUCAACUGAUAUGUUAAAACAUGUUUAUAGAAGAGUGAUUUCGCAUACUAAUAACAGAGUUGUAGCUAGAAAUCCAUUUUUAUCAGCUGCCAAACUGCUGUAUUACAAAUUAUUUGGAUAUAUAUAUGGUUGGGUUGGCAGUAGAGCUGAAAUUAUAAUGGUUAAUUCCACAUGGACUGAAGAACACAUUAACAGAAUUUGGAAAUGUCCAUUAAAAACUCAUAAAAUUUAUCCGCCGUGUGAUGUGAAACAUUUAACGUCGCUACCUCUUCUCAGUGAUGAUGAAAAAUGUAAUAGUAUUCGUAUAGUUUCAGUUGCACAAUUCAGGCCAGAAAAAAAUCAUCCAUUAAUGUUAAGAGCCAUGUAUGAACUUAGAUCGAUCGUUAAAGAAGAUGUUUGGGAGAAGAUUCGACUAAUUCUUAUUGGUUCCUGUCGAAAUUUUGAAGAUGAAGCUCGCAUGAAAGACAUGCAAGAUUUAUCGAAACACUUUGCAUUAGAAGAAAACGUGGAAUUUAAAUUAAACGUACCGUAUUCAGAGCUUACCUCCGAACUUCAGAGAGCAACAAUCGGUUUACAUACAAUGUGGAAUGAGCACUUUGGGAUUAGCAUUGUUGAAUGUAUGGCAGCUGGAUUAAUAAUGGUAGCUCAUGCAUCAGGUGGUCCAAAAGCUGAUAUAAUAGUAACUCAACCUGGAUCUCAGAAUGGUUUCUUAGCCUCGGAAGCGGAAGAAUAUGCAAAAAUAAUAGCACAUAUUAUUAAUAUGAAUCCAGAAGAGAGGACUGCAAUUAGGAUGGUUGCCAGAGCGUCUGUAAAUCGAUUUUCCGAUGAAGUAUUUGAAAGAGAAUUUUUGAGAACAAUAGAACCAUUCUUCAGGCAAAAACAGGAAUAACUUCUAAAAAAUUUGUUAAUAAAUGAAUACGCCCUUCACAUUCUAAUAGCAUUUAUUACGCUAUAAAACGUACAAACGUAAUUGUUUACCUUAUAUAUAUUUGUUUUUAUAUCCACAGCCUUCGCAUUCUAAAGCAUAAGAGACGUUAUCUUCAUCUUCAUUUUCGCGUAAGUUAAAGCGAAGAUUGAAAUCCUUUAACAUUAGUUCGGCUACUUUUAUGGCAGUUUCAGUGUGACAAAAAGGAACAACAGACAUACUUUAAUAGGAACAACACCAGCAACAUAUGCCCAUCCUGCUACCUCGCUAGGAACCCCUGGAUCAGUUAAAGUAAUAGCCUUCAAUGAUUGCACUGGUUUUAUGUAUAAAUGUACCUCUCCACCUCCCUUUGGAUAAUAACCCCUCCAUUGAUUAUUAAAAAGUUAAUAUUUUCUAAAUACUAUGAAUAAUUUCCAUAUAAUUUGUACAUAUUAAACAUACCUUGUUACAACAUUGAAA